ACCGAAUAGGGGAGCCGUAGAGAAAUCGAGUCUUAAUAGGGCGUAUAGUUGCUGGGUAUAGACCCGAAACCGGGUGAUCUAUCCAUGAGCAGGUUGAAGGUUGGGUAACACUAACUGGAGGACCGAACCCACUGUCGUUGAAAAGCCAGGGGAUGACUUGUGGAUAGGGGUGAAAGGCUAAUCAAACUCGGUGAUAGCUGGUUCUCCCCGAAAGCUAUUUAGGUAGCGCCUCGGACGAAUACCAUUGGGGGUAGAGCACUGUUUCGGCUAGGGGGUCAUCCCGACUUACCAAACCGAUGCAAACUCCGAAUACCAAUGAGUACUAUCCGGGAGACAGACUGCGGGUGCUAACGUCCGUAGUCAAGAGGAAAACAAUCCAGACCGCCAGCUAAGGUCCCUAAAUCAUAGUUAAGUGGGAAACGAUGUGGGAAGGCAUAGACAGCUAGGAGGUUGGCUUAGAAGCAGCCACCCUUUAAAGAAAGCGUAAUAGCUCACUAGUCGAGUCGGCCUGCGCGGAAGAUGUAACGGGGCUAAAACUAUGUACCGAAGCUGCGGAUUUGCAAUUUAUUGCAAGUGGUAGGGGAGCGUUCUGUAAGCCGAUGAAGGUGUGUUGAGAAGCAUGCUGGAGGUAUCAGAAGUGCGAAUGCUGACGUGAGUAACGACAAAACGGGUGAAAAACCCGUUCGCUGAAAGACCAAGGGUUCCAGUCCAACGUUAAUCGGGGCUGGGUGAGUCGACCCCUAAGGCGAGGCCGAGAGGCGUAGUCGAUGGGAAAUUGGUUAAUAUUCCAAUACUUCAGUGUAAUGCGAUGAGAGGACGGAGAAGGUUAAGUCAGCCUGGCGUUGGUUGUCCAGGUGGAAGACUGUAGGCAUGCAUCUUAGGCAAAUCCGGGGUGCUCUAUGCUGAGAGUUGAUAGCAAGCCAGUUUACUGGUGAAGUGGCUGAUACCAUACUUCCAGGAAAAGUCUCUAAGCUUCAGUUACACUGGAAUCGUACCCGAAACCGACACAGGUGGUCAGGUCGAGUAGACCAAAGCGCUUGAGAGAACUCUGCUGAAGGAACUAGGCAAAAUGGUACCGUAACUUCGGGAGAAGGUACGCUGCCGGCGGUGAUAGGACUUGCUCCUUGAGCUGUUGGCAGCCUCAGAAACCAGGCCGCUGCAACUGUUUAUUAAAAACAUAGCACUCUGCAAACACGAAAGUGGACGUAUAGGGUGUGAUGCCUGCCCGGUGCUGGAAGGUUAAUUGAUGGGGUUAGCGUAAGCGAAGCUCUUGAUCGAAGCCCCAGUAAACGGCGGCCGUAACUAUAACGGUCCUAAGGUAGCGAAAUUCCUUGUCGGGUAAGUUCCGACCUGCACGAAUGGCAUAAUGAUGGCGGCGCUGUCUCCAGCAGAGGCUCAGUGAAAUCGAAUUCGCCGUGAAGAUGCGGUG
rnacentral:rRNA from 1 species